rnacentral:miRNA from 1 species
UGUGUGUGUGUGUGUGUGUGUGUAUGUACAUGUUUGUAUAUGUGUGUACACACAUACACACACACACACACACU